AUCUGGCUCAGGAUGAACGCUAGCGGCAGGCUUAACACAUGCAAGUCGAGGGGCAACGCGAGUAGCAAUACUGGCGGCGACCGGCGCAAGGGUGCGUAACGCGUGAGCAACAUGCCCGUAUCAGGGGGAUAAUCCAGGGAAACUUGGUCUAAUACCCCAUAGUAAUUUUGUAAGGCAUCUUAUAAGAUUUAAAGCUUUGGUGGAUACGGAUUGGCUCGCGUGACAUUAGCUGGAUGGUAAGGUAACGGCUUACCAUGGCUAUGAUGUCUAGGGGUUCUGAGAGGAAGGUCCCCCCACACUGGUACUGAGACACGGACCAGACUCCUACGGGAGGCAGCAGUGAGGAAUAUUGGUCAAUGGGCGCAAGCCUGAACCAGCCAUGUCGCGUGCAGGAAGAACCUGCCCUAUGGGUUGUAAACUGCUUUUAUAGUAGAAGAAACACAUCUACGUGUAGAUGUCUGCCAGUAUACUAUGAAUAAGCAUCGGCUAACUCCGUGCCAGCCGCCGC
rnacentral:rRNA from 1 species